rnacentral:rRNA from 1 species
GUGUGCGUUCAUACCAGCAAUAAUGUAUCAAAUUCCAUCAGAACUCUGAAGUUAAGCUUGCUUGGGCGAGAAUGGUAGUAAGAUAAGCUUUGUCACCGAACCCC